rnacentral:tRNA from 23 species
GCGGAAGUGGCUCAGUGGUAGAGCAUCGCCUUGCCAAGGCGAGGGUCGCGAGUUCAAAUCUCGUCUUCCGCUCCA